GUGGGGAAUUUUGGACAAUGGGCGCAAGCCUGAUCCAGCAAUGCCGCGUGCAGGAAGAAGGCCUUCGGGUUGUAAACUGCUUUUGUACGGAACGAAACGGUCCGGGUUAAUACCCUGGGCUAAUGACGGUACCGUAAGAAUAAGCACCGGCUAACUACGUGCCAGCAGCCGCGGUAAUACGUAGGGUGCAAGCGUUAAUCGGAAUUACUGGGCGUAAAGCGUGCGCAGGCGGUUUUGUAAGACAGGCGUGAAAUCCCCGGGCUCAACCUGGGAAUUGCGCUUGUGACUGCAAGGCUGGAGUGCGGCAGAGGGGAUGGAAUUCCGCGUGUAGCAGUGAAAUGCGUAGAUAUGCGGAGGAACACCGAUGGCGAAGGCAAUCCCCUGGGCCUGCACUGACGCUCAUGCACGAAAGCGUGGGGAGCAAACAGGAUUAGAAACCCCAGUAGUCC
rnacentral:rRNA from 1 species